rnacentral:rRNA from 1 species
UACGAAGGGGGCUAGCGUUGCUCGGAAUUACUGGGCGUAAAGCGCACGUAGGCGGAUUGUUAAGUCGGGGGUGAAAUCCUGGAGCUCAACUCCAGAACUGCCUUCGAUACUGGCGAUCUCGAGUUCGGGAGAGGUGAGUGGAACUGCGAGUGUAGAGGUGAAAUUCGUAGAUAUUGGGAGGAACACCAGUGGCGAAGGCGGCUCACUGGACCGGAACUGACGCUGAGGCGCGAAAGCGUGGGGAGCAAACAGG